AAAAAAGGUAAGCUACUAAGAGCGAAUGGUGGAUGCCUUGACUGGUAAAGGCGAUGAAGGACGUACUAGACUGCGAUAAGCUACGGGGAGCUGUCAAGAAGCUUUGAUCCGUAGAUUUCCGAAUGGGGCAACCCAAUGUAUAGAGAUAUACAUUACCUAUAUAGGAGCGAACGAGGGGAAUUGAAACAUCUUAGUACCCUCAGGAAAAGAAAUCAAUAGAGAUUGCGUCAGUAGCGGCGAGCGAAAGCGCAAGAGGGCAAACCCAGUGCUUGCACUGGGGGUUGUAGGACUGCAAUGUGCAAGAGGUGAGUUUAGCAGAACAUUCUGGAAAGUAUAGCCAUAGAGGGUGAUAGUCCCGUAUGCGAAAAACAAACCUUAGCUAGCAGUAUCCUGAGUAGGGCGGGACACGAGAAAUCCUGUCUGAAGCUGGGUCGACCACGAUCCAACCCUAAAUACUAAUACCAGAUCGAUAGUGCACAAGUACCGUGAGGGAAAGGUGAAAAGAACUGAGGUGAUCAGAGUGAAAUAGAACCUGAAACCAUUUGCUUACAAUCAUUCAGAGCACUAUGUAGCAAUACAGUGUGAUGGACUGCCUUUUGCAUAAUGAGCCUGCGAGUUGUGGUGUCUGGCAAGGUUAAGCAAACGCGAAGCCGUAGCGAAAGCGAGUCUGAAUAGGGCGCUUAGUCAGAUGCUGCAGACCCGAAACGAAGUGAUCUAUCCAUGAGCAAGUUGAAGCUAGUGUAAGAACUAGUGGAGGACUGAACCCAUAGGCGUUGAAAAGCCCCGGGAUGACUUGUGGAUAGGGGUGAAAGGCCAAUCAAACUUCGUGAUAGCUGGUUCUCUCCGAAAUAUAUUUAGGUAUAGCGUUGUGUCGUAAUAUAAGGGGGUAGAGCACUGAAUGGGCUAGGGCAUACACCAAUGUACCAAACCCUAUCAAACUCCGAAUACCUUAUAUGUAAUCACAGCAGUCAGGCGGCGAGUGAUAAAAUCCGUCGUCAAGAGGGAAACAACCCAGACUACCAGCUAAGGUCCCUAAAUCUUACUUAAGUGGAAAACGAUGUGAAGUUACUUAAACAACCAGGAGGUUGGCUUAGAAGCAGCCAUCCUUUAAAGAAAGCGUAAUAGCUCACUGGUCUAGUGAUUUUGCGCGGAAAAUAUAACGGGGCUAAAGUAAGUACCGAAGCUGUAGACUUGAUUUUAUCAAGUGGUAGGAGAGCGUUCUAUUUGCGCCGAAGGUAUACCGGUAAGGAGUGCUGGAGCGAAUAGAAGUGAGCAUGCAGGCAUGAGUAGCGAUAAUUAAUGUGAGAAUCAUUAACGCCGUAAACCCAAGGUUUCCUACGCGAUGCUCGUCAUCGUAGGGUUAGUCGGGUCCUAAGUCGAGUCCGAAAGGGGUAGACGAUGGCAAAUUGGUUAAUAUUCCAAUACCAACAUUAGUGUGCGAUGGAAGGACGCUUAGGGCUAAGGGGGCUAGCGGAUGGAAGUGCUAGUCUAAGGUCGUAGGAGGUUAUACAGGCAAAUCCGUAUAACAAUACUCCGAGAACUGAAAGGCUUUUUGAAGUCUUCGGAUGGAUAGAAGAACCCCUGAUGCCGUCGAGCCAAGAAAAGUUUCUAAGUUUAGCUAAUGUUGCCCGUACCGUAAACCGACACAGGUGGGUGGGAUGAGUAUUCUAAGGCGCGUGGAAGAACUCUCUUUAAGGAACUCUGCAAAAUAGCACCGUAUCUUCGGUAUAAGGUGUGGUUCGCUUCGUAUUAGGAUUUACUCCGAAAGCGAAGAAACUUACAACAAAGAGUCCCUCCCGACUGUUUACCAAAAACACAGCACUCUGCUAACUCGUAAGAGGAUGUAUAGGGUGUGACGCCUGCCCGGUGCUCGAAGGUUAAUUGAUGGGGUUAGCAUUAGCGAAGCUCUUGAUCGAAGCCCGAGUAAACGGCGGCCGUAACUAUAACGGUCCUAAGGUAGCGAAAUUCCUUGUCGGUUAAAUACCGACCUGCAUGAAUGGCGUAACGAGAUGGGAGCUGUCUCAAAGAGGGAUCCAGUGAAAUUGUAGUGGAGGUGAAAAUUCCUCCUACCCGCGGCAAGACGGAGAGACCCCGUGGACCUUUACUACAGCUUGACACUGCUACUUGGAUAAGAAUGUGCAGGAUAGGUGGGAGGCUUUGAGUAUAUGACGCCAGUUGUAUAUGAGCCAUUGUUGAGAUACCACUCUUUCUUAUUUGGGUAGCUAACCAGCUUGAGUUAUCCUCAAGUGGGACAAUGUCUGGUGGGUAGUUUGACUGGGGCGGUCGCCUCCCAAAUAAUAACGGAGGCUUACAAAGGUUGGCUCAGAACGGUUGGAAAUCGUUCGUAGAGUAUAAAGGUAUAAGCCAGCUUAACUGCAAGACAUACAAGUCAAGCAGAGACGAAAGUCGGUCUUAGUGAUCCGGUGGUUCUGUGUGGAAGGGCCAUCGCUCAAAGGAUAAAAGGUACCCCGGGGAUAACAGGCUGAUCUCCCCCAAGAGCUCACAUCGACGGGGAGGUUUGGCACCUCGAUGUCGGCUCAUCGCAUCCUGGGGCUGGAGCAGGUCCCAAGGGUAUGGCUGUUCGCCAUUUAAAGCGGUACGCGAGCUGGGUUCAGAACGUCGUGAGACAGUUCGGUCCCUAUCUGCCGUGGGCGUAAGAAGAUUGAAGAGAUUUGACCCUAGUACGAGAGGACCGGGUUGAACAAACCACUGGUGUAGCUGUUGUUCUGCCAAGAGCAUCGCAGCGUAGCUAAGUUUGGAAAGGAUAAACGCUGAAAGCAUCUAAGCGUGAAGCCAACUCUAAGAUGAAUCUUCUCUAAGCUCUCUAGAAGACUACUAGUUUGAUAGGCUGGGUGUGUAAUGGAUGAAAGUCCUUUAGCUGACCAGUACUAAUAGAGCGUUUGGCUUAUCUUUAAUAAAGCAU
rnacentral:rRNA from 1 species